rnacentral:sRNA from 1 species
UCAUCAGAGAGGGCGUGCACACGCAUCA